rnacentral:rRNA from 1 species
AUUGAACGCUGGCGGCAGGCCUAACACAUGCAAGUCGAACGAGUGGCGGACGGGUGAGUAAUGUCUGGGAAACUGCCUGAUGGAGGGGGAUAACUACUGGAAACGGUAGCUAAUCCCGAAUACCACCGAAUUGCCCAAGAGGGGUUUAGCUAGUUGGUGGGGAAACGGCUAACCAAGGCGACGAUCCCUAGCUGGUCUGAGAGGAUGACCAGCCACACUGGAACUGAGACACGGUCCAGACUCCUACGGGAGGCAGCAGUGGGGAAUAUUGCACAAUGGGCGCAAGCCUGAUGCAGCCAUGCCGCGUGUAUGAAGAAGGCCUUCGGGUUGUAAAGUACUUUCAGCGGGGAGGCGUUACCCGCAGAAGAAGCACCGGCUAACUCCGUGCCAGCAGCCGCGGUAAUUC